UACGUAGGGGGCAAGCGUUGUCCGGAUUUAUUGGGCGUAAAGGGCGUGUAGGCGGUUUGGUAGGUCCGUUGUGAAAACUCGAGGCUCAACCUCGAGACGCCGAUGGAAACCAUCAGACUAGAGUCCGGAAGAGGAGAGUGGAAUUCCUGGUGUAGCGGUGAAAUGCGCAGAUAUCAGGAAGAACACCCGUGGCUAAGGCGGCUCUCUAGUACGGUACUGACGCUGAGACGCGAAAGCGUGGGGAGCGAACAGG
rnacentral:rRNA from 1 species